UUCAGGAUGAACGCUAGCUACAGGCUUAACACAUGCAAGUCGAGGGGCAGCAUGGUCUUAGCUUGCUAAGGCCGAUGGCGACCGGCGCACGGGUGAGUAACACGUAUCCAACCUGCCGUCUACUCUUGGACAGCCUUCUGAAAGGAAGAUUAAUACAAGAUGGCAUCAUGAGUCCACAUGUUCACAUGAUUAAAGGUAUUCCGGUAGACGAUGGGGAUGCGUUCCAUUAGAUAGUAGGCGGGGUAACGGCCCACCUAGUCUUCGAUGGAUAGGGGUUCUGAGAGGAAGGUCCCCCACAUUGGAACUGAGACACGGUCCAAACUCCUACGGGAGGCAGCAGUGAGGAAUAUUGGUCAAUGGGCGAGAGCCUGAACCAGCCAAGUAGCGUGAAGGAUGACUGCCCUAUGGGUUGUAAACUUCUUUUAUAAAGGAAUAAAGUCGGGUAUGCAUACCCGUUUGCAUGUACUUUAUGAAUAAGGAUCGGCUAACUCCGUGCCAGCAGCCGCGGUAAUACGGAGGAUCCGAGCGUUAUCCGGAUUUAUUGGGUUUAAAGGGAGCGUAGAUGGAUGUUUAAGUCAGUUGUGAAAGUUUGCGGCUCAACCGUAAAAUUGCAGUUGAUACUGGAUAUCUUGAGUGCAGUUGAGGCAGGCGGAAUUCGUGGUGUAGCGGUGAAAUGCUUAGAUAUCACGAAGAACUCCGAUUGCGAAGGCAGCCUGCUAAGCUGCAACUGACAUUGAGGCUCGAAAGUGUGGGUAUCAAACAGGAUUAGAUACCCUGGUAGUCCACACGGUAAACGAUGAAUACUCGCUGUUUGCGAUAUACGGCAAGCGGCCAAGCGAAAGCGUUAAGUAUUCCACCUGGGGAGUACGCCGGCAACGGUGAAACUCAAAGGAAUUGACGGGGGCCCGCACAAGCGGAGGAACAUGUGGUUUAAUUCGAUGAUACGCGAGGAACCUUACCCGGGCUUAAAUUGCAGAUGAAUUACGGUGAAAGCCGUAAGCCGCAAGGCAUCUGUGAAGGUGCUGCAUGGUUGUCGUCAGCUCGUGCCGUGAGGUGUCGGCUUAAGUGCCAUAACGAGCGCAACCCUUGUUGUCAGUUACUAACAGGUUCCGCUGAGGACUCUGACAAGACUGCCAUCGUAAGAUGUGAGGAAGGUGGGGAUGACGUCAAAUCAGCACGGCCCUUACGUCCGGGGCUACACACGUGUUACAAUGGGGGGUACAGAGGGCCGCUACCACGCGAGUGGAUGCCAAUCCCCAAAACCUCUCUCAGUUCGGACUGGAGUCUGCAACCCGACUCCACGAAGCUGGAUUCGCUAGUAAUCGCGCAUCAGCCACGGCGCGGUGAAUACGUUCCCGGGCCUUGUACACACCGCCCGUCAAGCCAUGGGAGCCGGGGGUACCUGAAGUGCGUAACCGCGAGGAGCGCCCUAGGGUAAAAC
rnacentral:rRNA from 1 species